rnacentral:tRNA from 1 species
UCCCUGGUGGCUCAGAUGGUAAAGCGUCUGCCUGCAAUGCAGGAGACCUGGAUUCGAUCCCUGGGUUGGGAA